UGGCCAAUCAGAACUCAGGGCUGAGCUUCCGGUGAAGAGAAGCUCUAUUUCCGUUGGGAGCAGUUGCGAAGUGAGGUUGGCCUGCGCGGGUGGAAGCAGACGUGACGUCAGCUUGUGGCCUUUGCUGCUAAGUCACUUCAGUCAUGUCCGACUCUGUGUGACCCCAUAGACGGCAGCCCACCAGGCUCCCCCGUCCCUGGGAUUCUCCAGGCAAGAAUACUGGAGUGGGUUGCCAUUUCCUUCUCCAACGCAUGAAAGUGGAAAGUGAAAGUGAAGUCGCUCAGUCGUGUCCGACCCUUAGCGACCCCACGGACUGCAGCCUACCAGCCUCCUCCGCUCAUGGGAUUUUCCAGGCAAGAGUACUGGAGUAGGGUGUCAUUGCCUUCUCCUUGUGGCGUUUGGUAAAGGCCAAACUUUACCAAAAGUUUGUCACUUCUGUAAAGGCAGAGCCAUCUGUGUGAGGAGGACAUCAGCAAGCAGAGCUGAGAGUUCAGGAGAGAUGGUUCCGGCUGACGUCCUAAAACUCCCGAGUGCAGCCCUGGCGGACGCUUGUGGAUUUAGGGAGGAGGACAUCAGCAAGCAGAGCUGAGAGUUCAGGAGAGAUGGUUCCGGCUGACGUCCUAAAACUCCCGAGUGCAGCCCUGGCGGACGCUUGUGGAUUUAGGGUAAGUCAUUCGCUCCAGCUUGUUUGUUAACUGGUUUCUGCAACUUUGGGUUUUCUGUCCAGCUGGUCAAGUGGAGAGCCUGGAACCACAACUGUGUCGGUUUAGGCUAGCUUCAGGGAAGACUUUCAAGAUAACACCGUGAAACUCCAGUUUAAUUUGGAGAUCCAAAUGGAUUUGAGCAUUGUUGUUGUUGUUGUUGUUGUUCAGUCUCUAAGUCAGCUCUGACUCUUUGCGACCCAUGAACUGCAGCACAGCAGGCUUCCCUAUCCUUCACCAUCUCUUGGAGCUUGCUCAAACUUAUGUCCAUUGAGACAGUGAUGUCAUCCAACCAUCUUGUCCUCU
rnacentral:lncRNA from 1 species